GCCUUAGUACGGCGAGUGAGCGGCAAAAGCUCAAAUUUGAAAUCUGGUACCUCUUCGGUGCCCGAGUUGUAAUUUGGAGAGUACCACUUUGGGACUGUACUUUGCCUAUGUUCCUUGGAACAGGACGUCAUGGAGGGUGAGAAUCCCGUGUGGCGAGGGUGUCAGUUCUUUGUAAAGGGUGCUCGAAGAGUCGAGUUGUUUGGGAAUGCAGCUCUAAGUGGGUGGUAAAUUCCAUCUAAAGCUAAAUACAGGCGAGAGACCGAUAGCGAACAAGUACAGUGAUGGAAAGAUGAAAAGAACUUUGAAAAGAGAGUGAAAAAGUACGUGAAAUUGUUGAAAGGGAAGGGCAUUUGAUCAGACAUGGUGUUUUGCGCCCCUUGCCUCUCGUGGGCUUGGGACUCUCGCAGCUCACUGGGCCAGCAUCGGUUUUGGCGGCCGGAAAAAACCUAGGGAAUGUGGCUCUGCGCCUCGGUGUAGAGUGUUAUAGCCCUGGGGAA
rnacentral:rRNA from 1 species